rnacentral:rRNA from 1 species
GGGCCCGCACAAGCGGUGGAGCAUGUGGUUUAAUUCGAUGAUACGCGAGGAACCUUACCAGGGCUUAAAUGUAGAUUGACAGAUUUGGAAACAGAUUUUUCUUCGGACAAUUUACAAGGUGCUGCAUGGUUGUCGUCAGCUCGUGCCGUGAGGUGUCAGUUAAGUCCUAUAACGAGCGCAACCCCUACCGUUAGUUGCCAGCGAGUCAUGUCGGGGACUCUAGCGGAACUGCCGGCGUAAGCCGCGAGGAAGGUGGGGAUGACGUCAAAUCAUCACGGCCCUUACGUCCUGGGCUACACACGUGCUACAAUGGUACGGACAAUGAGCAGCCACAUGGUGACAUG